UGCAUAUUACAUACAUAUUUUAGAUGGUGGUAGUUGAUAUUAUAAGGAAUGUUUAGGUUCUAUUGUUUGAAGAAAGAUGCUAAUGCUAGGGUCUGGAGACUAGUUUUUUUAUGUCCUGAUAUCUUGACUUCUGUUGGACUGUAAACAUUUUUGUUCUCAACUUUGUGUCAGAAUUUUUUUUUUUAUAUUAUACAGUGGUACGCGGAUUAAGACCCGCAAACGGAAUAUUGCAGCUCCUCUGGACCCUUCAACAUUUGCGGAUGCAGUGGUCCAGAUUUAUCUGGAUAAUGCUGGUGAUCUGGAACUCAUUGCUAAGAGCAUUGAAUCUUCGGACC